rnacentral:rRNA from 1 species
GAUCAUGGCUCAGGAUGAACGCUGGCGGCGUGCUUAACACAUGCAAGUCGAACGGACUUGGAUGUCGGAAGUUUUCGGAUGGAAGAUAUCCAAGUUAGUGGCGGACGGGUGAGUAACGCGUGGGUAACCUGCCCUGUACCGGGGGAUAACACUUAGAAAUAGGUGCUAAUACCGCAUAAGUGCACAGAGUCACAUGACUUGGUGUAAAAAACUCCGGUGGUACAGGAUGGACCCGCGUCUGAUUAGCUUGG